rnacentral:rRNA from 1 species
CCUACGGGGGGCAGCAGUGGGGAAUAUUGGACAAUGGGCGAAAGCCUGAUCCAGCCAUGCCGCGUGUGUGAAGAAGGCCUUCGGGUUGUAAAGCACUUUCAGUGGGGAAGAAAGCCUUGGGGCUAAUACCCUCGAGGAAGGACAUCACCCACAGAAGAAGCACCGGCUAACUCCGUGCCAGCAGCCGCGGUAAUACGGAGGGUGCGAGCGUUAAUCGGAAUUACUGGGCGUAAAGCGCGCGUAGGCGGUCUGAUAAGCCGGUUGUGAAAGCCCCGGGCUCAACCUGGGAACGGCAUCCGGAACUGUCAGGCUAGAGUGCAGGAGAGGAAGGUAGAAUUCCCGGUGUAGCGGUGAAAUGCGUAGAGAUCGGGAGGAAUACCAGUGGCGAAGGCGGCCUUCUGGACUGAAACUGACGCUGAGGUGCGAAAGCGUGGGUAGCAAACAGGAUUAGAUACCCCAGUAGUC